UACGAAGGGGGCUAGCGUUGCUCGGAAUGACUGGGCGUAAAGGGCGCGUAGGCGGCUUGCUCAGUCAGGCGUGAAAUUCCUGGGCUCAACCUGGGGACUGCGCUUGAGACGUGUGGGCUUGAGUGGGGAAGAGGGUCGUGGAAUUCCCAGUGUAGAGGUGAAAUUCGUAGAUAUUGGGAAGAACACCGGUGGCGAAGGCGGCGACCUGGUCCUUGACUGACGCUGAGGCGCGAAAGCGUGGGGAGCAAACAGG
rnacentral:rRNA from 1 species